UCCCUUUGCCGCGGGAGGGAGCCGCCGCCCCCCGCCAUUCCUCCCUUGGCCGCGGGAGAGAGCCGCCCCCCGCCGUUCCUUCUCUCGCCGCGGGAGAGAGCCGUCGUGCCCUUCGCCGCGAGAGUUGAGCUUCAGCUUGGCCUCCGCACCGAUGUUCCUCUUAUGCUUCCCGUCGGCCACAAGUAAGUUUCUUGUACACUGAAGCUCAACUGUUCCUAAUCUGCAGACUACAGACGACCUACCUUUUUGCGUUCUGAUGAAUUUUGGCCCUCUUAGACUUUGUUCCACAUUUGCCUUGCAUUUCAACCAAAGGGAUUGAGUUGCCUUUCAACCAAAGGAAUUGAUACAAAUGCAUUGUGAACAACUAGGUGGUAACAAAGGGAUUGAUACAAAUGCAUUGUGAACAACUAGGUGGUAACAGAACAUCAAUUGAAGUGGGAAGAUGGGGCAGCGGCGGCAUGCUAUACUGUCUUGGGCUCCCGUCCCCUGUCGUAAUCAAAUCACAACCAUUGUUGGUGAGGCUUCAGUUAACAUUCCCAUCUUCCUAGCCACUACAACGAUAAUCGGGUAACUAUGAGUCAUCAAACUGAAGUUGGCUUCUUCAUCUGUAUUUCUUAGAUGUGUGCCGAGAUAGUAGCGAGGCUUUGUUCUUAUUUCUAAUAAUUAGAUGCAGAUAUUUAGACAUUUGCUUCAGUGAUUACAAACUGAAGAAUGUGGACUGAUUUGUUAAUUUAAUUGUCAAAUUUGGUGUUGUCGGAUUUCUAUUUGUAGGUUAAUAUUCAGUGCAUGAGAAGCAUGUAUUGUGUCAUUUUCUUCUGUCAAUAUUCAGUUUGAACCAAUUAGGCGACCAAUUUGUGCUAAUUUCUAUUCAUACGUGGUCUCUGUGUAUAGAGGCUCCAAGAAAGAAGGAUGGGUGUGUAAUACGUAGUCAUGUAUUGGUUCAUUCUUUUCCACUUACAAAUGUUUUAAGAAAUCAACUAGCCUGCUUCGAAGCUGGGGACCCAUGAGUGUUAUUGUGCAAUUCCAGCUUCCAGAUUAUAAUGAGGAUCAUGGAGCUGUAGGUAGAAUGCAAUGACUUACAGUAAUGUCUACUGACUUGGCAAGAGGUUUCUUAUCAAACUAUUCACAUCUUAUUUAUAUUGUCCAUGCUAUUUGAAGGUGAAUAACUAUCUUUCAGAAUUGUGUACAUUUGGUAAAUUAUUAUUGUCCCUACGAAGCGACUUUCAGUUUAUAUAGAGAAAUUAUUUUAUGACACUACAUGAUUAAGGGAGAACAUACAUACGAUUGGGGAAAAAAAAGCAUGGGGUGACGACAAAUGGGUGCCUCUCUCAGAAGGGAUCAGGUGGAGGCUCACCGGCUGCAGCGAUGGCCACUAGCGUGAGCUGUGAAGCGCGUGGAGGCGAGAGCCUCAUGGCCUGUUGAUACGGCGCAUAAUUGCAACCCUCCAAUUCAUGUAAGUUUGUUGAUUGUGUUCUCAGUUGUCUAAGUUGUUAUAGACGCGGAUAGUGUGCAAAAUGGUGGAAUGGAAAGACCAAUAUUCUGACAGUGUGUGAGAGAUUUAUACUGAUACUAAAUUGCUAGCUGCUUGCUGAUGGGAAGCUAUCAUUGAUAGAGCAUUCAGUUGGGGGCUUACGCUCACGCAAGUACAUGGAGGAAUUCGAGACGCCUGACCUAAGUUUACUACUCCCUCCACUUAAAUGAAUAAGGCGCACACACAUUUCAAAAUCUAACUUUGGCCAUCAAUUUAACAGCCGGGGGUAUUCCUCCUUUUCGUAAAAAAAUCAAUUUAACAAACCAAAUGUGGGUUAUACCUAAUAAAAGUUAUACCGUUGAGCUCAUUUUUGAGAAAAAAUUAGUACUGCCUUCGUGCGGAAAUACUUAUCGCUAAAUGGAUGUAUCUAAACAUAUUUCAGUUCUAGAUACAUCCGUUCGAGUGACAAGAAUUUCCGGACGGAGGGAGUAGUAUAAUUUUCAAGUCACAUAAGUUGCUUGAUCUCUCCCUACUCCAUGUUAAAGAAUUCUGAUUCAGCCGAUUCCCCUGCUGAAUGCUUGUGUUUCGUACUUUCAUUUAAGUUGCCUCUUAAAAAUAAGUGUACUGUCUUUUGUGUUCCACAUAUCACAUUUGAUUUGAUCUCUGUGGGGCAGAAUAAAUACUGUAUGUUUUACAUGUGGGUUGAUGCACAGAAGUCAUUUGCUGCACGUCUUUAUUCCUACAAGCUUUACUAUUAUAACUUGAUAGCAUGUGGAAUUUUGGAUAAUUGCAGCGCCUCACCCCGCUCCACUCCAUGCCAGCCCCACAGUCAUGUUAUUGAACAUUGGAGAGAAACCGAGCACCACUUUUCACUUGAAUUAGAAACACCAAAGGUUUGGGAUUAUGCUCGUGACGACUAUGUCCAUCAUGUAUCGUGUCCAAAGCAGAUGGUAUGUGUUCAUAUGUAAUGGUGGUGCAGUAAUGGAUCAAGCUCUAUUGAACAGGAAAGUUAAGCUGUAAUCUAUGGUAUGUUUCUGUAUAUUUUCUUUUACAAACGUGCUACUUCUCUUCUUUUAGAUUGUUGGAUAGUACAAUGAUCUGGUCAACGUUUAUUACCAGCUUAUAAGUUCAUUGUGACUCUGGUUUUGUGCUAAUGUAGUACUGAUAUGAGUCACUUCUGCUAGAAAUCAAAGAGAAUUAAAUGUAAGUUUCUGCUACUGCA
rnacentral:lncRNA from 1 species